UCUUUUUGUACCCCAUUUUCAAGAAAUGAGGCAUUUGGCGCAUCUUUUCUGCUACCGCCGGGAACGAGCUCAAGGAAGAGAGGAAAUUCUGCUUCGCAUGCAUCCAGGAUGCCCCUGGGGGGAGGGUGUGAUGUCCUGGACUGAGAAAACAAAACGAUGGCUGGGACAGCAGUGCUUGGGCAGAAUUUGAGAGCUUUGGAUGCGCACACAGUGGCUAUCAUCCCUGGACACAUUGAUGAAAGGAAAGUGUUAGGUCUUUCUUUCUUGACUUCUCGACUCACUGACCAAACUUUUUGUGACGAGGUUUGAAGUUCUGGAGAGCAAGGACGAGCUUGAUCUCAUUGGACAACAACCACCAGAACCGCUGCGGCAGUUUAACCAGCGCUUUCAGUCUUAUAUUCGUAAAUUCGUCCUGUGUGGCGACUUGAUACGGCUGUGCAUCACUUUGCCAAGUUCCAGCCUUCUUGGAUUGGUCCUUAUCAGGUACUUUCUCGUGCUGGCACUAAUUCGUAUUGGCUAGCAGAGUUGACGGGCA